GAUGAAGAACGUAGCGAAAUGCGAUACUUGGUGUGUAUUGCAGAAUCCCGUGAACCAUCGAGUCUUUGAACGCAAGUUGCGCCCGAAGCCACUAGGCCGAGGGCACGCCUGCCUGGGCGUCACACGCCGUUGCCCCCCCAUCUACUCCUUCGGGAUUGCGGGGGGGCGGAUGAUGGCCUCCUGUGCGCCUAGCCGCGCGGUUGGCAUAAAUACCAAGUCCUCGGCGACGCACGCCACGACAAUCGGUGGUUGCGAAACCUCGGUUGCCCGUCGUGUGCGUUCGUCGCGCAUCGAGGGCUCGAAAAAAUGCUCGGCUCCGGCUGGGCUUUCAACGCGACCCCAGGUCAGGCGGGGUUACCCGCUGAAUUUAAGCAUAUCAAUAAGCGGAGGA
rnacentral:misc_RNA from 1 species